rnacentral:rRNA from 1 species
AGGACGAACGCUUGCGACGUGCCUAAGAAAUGCAAGUCGAACGGAUCAGCAGCAAUGCUGGUUAGUGGCGAACGGUCGCGUAACACGUGGACAACCUACCCCGGCGUGGGGGAUACCCGCCAGAAAUGGCGGCUAAUACCGCGUACGGUUGCUGGACGAAGGGUCUGGCAAAGAAAGCAGUAAUGCGCGCUGGGAGGGGUCUGCGGCCGAUUAGCUUGUUGGCGGGGUAACGGCCCACCAAGGCGAUGAUCGGUAGCUGGUCUGAGAGGAUGAUCAGCCACACGGGGACUGAGACACGGCCCCGACUCCUACGGGAGGCAGCAGCAAGGAAUUUUCCGCAAUGGGGGCAACCCUGACGGAGCAACGCCGCGUGACGGAUGACGCCUCUUGGGGUGUAAACGUCUUUUGCCGGGGAAGAGAACGGACGGUACCCGGCGAAUCAGGACCGGCUAACUACGCGCCAGCAGCCGC